GGUAGUCCACGCCGUAAACGAUGGAUACUAGCUGUUGGAGGUAUCGACCCCUUCAGUAGCGAAGCUAACGCGUUAAGUAUCCCGCCUGUGGAGUACGGUCGCAAGACUAAAACAUAAAGGAAUUGACGGGGACCCGCACAAGCGGUGGAUUAUGUUCUUUAAUUCGAUGCUAAACGAAGAACCUUACCAGGGUUUGACAUCCCGAGAAUUACUCCGAAAGGAGUGAGUGCUUUUUAGAACUCGGUGACAGAUGUUGCAUGGCCGUCGUCAGCUCGUGCCGUGAGGUGUCCUGUUAAG
rnacentral:rRNA from 1 species